rnacentral:rRNA from 1 species
CCUACGGGUGGCAGCAGUGAGGAAUAUUGGUCAAUGGCCGGAAGGCUGAACCAGCCAAGCCGCGUGAAGGACGAAGGUGCCAAGCAUUGUAAACUUCUUUUGUCAAGGGACAAAAUCAGGCUCGAGAGCCUGACCGAGGGUACUUGAAGAAAAAGCAUCGGCUAACUCCGUGCCAGCAGCCGCGGUAAUACGGAGGAUGCGAGCGUUAUCCGGAUUUAUUGGGUUUAAAGGUUGCGUAGGCGGGCUGUUAAGUCAGCGGUAAAAGCCCGGGGCGCAACCCCGGCGAGCCGUUGAAACUGGCUGUAUUGAGAUGUCGAGAGGUAUGCGGAAUGCGCAGUGUAGCGGUGAAAGGCUUAGAUAUUGCGCAGAACUCCGAUUGCGAAGGCAGCAUACCGGCGGCGAUCUGACGCUGAGGCACGAAAGCGUGGGUAUCGAACAGGAUUAGAUACCCCGGUAGUC